GACGAACGCUGGCGGCGUGCUUAACACAUGCAAGUCGAACGGAAAGGCCCUGCGUUUGUGGGGUGCUCGAGUGGCGAACGGGUGAGUAACACGUGAGUAACCUGCCCUUGACUUUGGGAUAACUUCAGGAAACUGGGGCUAAUACCGGAUAGGAGCUCCUGCUGCAUGGUGGGGGUUGGAAAGUUUCGGCGGUUGGGGAUGGACUCGCGGCGUUUCAGCUUGUGGGUGGGGUAGUGGCUUACCAAGGCUUUGACGGCUAGCCGGCCUGAGAGGGUGACCGGCUACAUCUGGAGCGAGGUACGGCCCAGACUCGUACGGGAGGAAGCGGCGGGGAAUUUUGCACAAUGGGCCGAGGCCUGGUGCAGCAACGCCGCGUGCGGGAUGACGGCCUUCGGGUUGUAAACCGCUUGCGCAUGUGACGAAGCGUGAGUGACGGUAACGGGUAAAGACGCACCGGCUAACUACGUG
rnacentral:rRNA from 1 species